GUAGCGGCGAGCGAAACGGGAAAAGCCCAAACCAGCAAGCUUGCUUGUUGGGGUUGUAGGACUCCAAUAUGGUAGUUCUUUCAGAUAGUCGAAUGACUUGGAAAAGUCAGUCAAAGAGGGUAAAAACCCCGUAGACGAAAUGUGGAAGACACCUAGGAGGAUCCUGAGUACGGCGGAACACGAGAAAUUCCGUCGGAAUCCGGGAGGACCAUCUCCCAAGGCUAAAUACUCCCUAGUGACCGAUAGUGAACCAGUACCGUGAGGGAAAGGUGAAAAGCACCCCGGAAGGGGAGUGAAAUAGAACCUGAAACCGUGUGCCUACAACAAGUCAAAGCCCGUUAAUGGGUGAUGGCGUGCCUUUUGUAGAAUGAACCGGCGAGUUACGAUUGCAUGCGAGGUUAAGUUGAAGAGACGGAGCCGCAGCGAAAGCGAGUCUGAAUAGGGCGUUUGAGUAUGUAGUCGUAGACCCGAAACCAUGUGAUCUACCCAUGUCCAGGUUGAAGGUGCGGUAAAACGCACUGGAGGACCGAACCCACGUACGUUGAAAAGUGCGGGGAUGAGGUGUGGGUAGCGGAGAAAUUCCAAACGAACUUGGAGAUAGCUGGUUCUCUCCGAAAUAGCUUUAGGGCUAGCCUCGGAAUUGAGAAUGAUGGAGGUAGAGCACUGUUUGGACUAGGGGCCCAUCUCGGGUUACCGAAUUCAGAUAAACUCCGAAUGCCAUUCAUUCAUAUCCGGGAGUCAGACUGUGAGUGAUAAGAUCCAUAGUCGAAAGGGAAACAGCCCAGACCACCAGCUAAGGUCCCAAAAUAUAUGUUAAGUGGAAAAGGAUGUGGGGUUGCACAGACAACUAGGAUGUUGGCUUAGAAGCAGCCACCAUUUAAAGAGUGCGUAAUAGCUCACUAGUCGAGUGACCCUGCGCCGAAAAUGUACCGGGGCUAAACAUAUUACCGAAGCUGUGGAGUACACCUUUAGGUGUAUUGGUAGGAGAGCGUUCUAAGGGCGUUGAAGGCAGAUCGUGAGGACUGCUGGAGCGCUUAGAAGUGAGAAUGCCGGUAUGAGUAGCGAAAGACAGGUGAGAAUCCUGUCCACCGAAUGACUAAGGUUUCCUGGGGAAGGCUCGUCCGCCCAGGGUUAGUCGGGACCUAAGCCGAGGCCGACAGGCGUAGGCGAUGGAUAACAGGUUGAUAUUCCUGUACCCGUUGUUUUUGUUUGAGCAAUGGAGGGACGCAGGAGGCUAAGGAAUGCAGACGAUCGGAAAUGUCUGUCCAAGCAGUAAGUCUGAAGAGGAGUCAAAUGCUUCUUUUCUUAAGGACAAGCUGUGAUGGGGAGGGAAAUAAUAGUACCGAAGUUCCUGAUGUCACACUGCCGAGAAAAGCUUCUAGUGAGAAAACAGCGGCCCGUACCGCAAACCGACACAGGUAGUCGAGGAGAGAAUCCUAAGGUGAGCGAGAGAACUCUCGUUAAGGAACUCGGCAAAAUGACCCCGUAACUUCGGGAGAAGGGGUGCUGAUCAUACGAUCAGCCGCAGUGAAUAGGCCCAAGCGACUGUUUAUCAAAAACACAGGUCUCUGCAAAAUCGUAAGAUGAAGUAUAGGGGCUGACGCCUGCCCGGUGCUGGAAGGUUAAGAGGAGUGCUUAGCGCAAGCGAAGGUACGAAUUGAAGCCCCAGUAAACGGCGGCCGUAACUAUAACGGUCCUAAGGUAGCGAAAUUCCUUGUCGGGUAAGUUCCGACCCGCACGAAAGGCGUAACGAUUUGGGCACUGUCUCAACGAGAGACUCGGUGAAAUUUUAGUACCUGUGAAGAUGCAGGUUACCCGCGACAGGACGGAAAGACCCCAUGGAGCUUUACUGUAGUUUGAUAUUGAGUGUCUGUACCGCAUGUACAGGAUAGGUA
rnacentral:rRNA from 1 species